CGGUUGAUCCUGCCAGAGGUCACUGCUAUCGGUGUUCGACUAAGCCAUGCAAGUUAUAUGUUCUUCGUGAACAUGGCGAACUGCUCAGUAACACGUGGAUAACCUGCCCUUGGGACCGGCAUAACCCCGGGAAACUGGGGAUAAUUCCGGAUAUGCCAUGAUAGCUGGAAUGCUUCGUGGUUCAAAAGGAUUCGUCUGCCCAAGGAUGGGUCUGCGGCCUAUCAGGUAGUAGCGGGUGCAAGGUACCUGCUAGCCGACGACGGGUACGGGUUGUGAGAGCAAGAGCCCGGAGAUGGAUUCUGAGACAUGAAUCCAGGCCCUACGGGGCGCAGCAGGCGCGAAAACUUUACAAUGCGGGAAACCGCGAUAAGGGGACACCGAGUGCCAGCAUACAAUGCUGGCUGUCCGCAUGUGUAAACGGCAUGCGUUAGCAAGGGCCGGGCAAGACCGGUGCCAGCCGCCGCGGUAACACCGGCGGCCCGAGUGGUGAUCACUAUUAUUGGGUCUAAAGGGUCCGUAGCCGGUUUGAUCAGUCCUCUGGGAAAUCUGACAGCUCAACUGUUAGGCUUCCAGGGGAUACUGUCAGACUUGGGACCGGGAGAGGUAAGAGGUACCACAGGGGUAGGAGUGAAAUCUUGUAAUCCCUGUGGGACCACCAGUGG
rnacentral:rRNA from 1 species